UCUCCGUUGGUGAACCAGCGGAGGGAUCAUUACCGAGUUUACAACUACCAAACCCCUGUGAACAUACCAUUUGUUGCCUCGGCGGUGCCUGCUUCGGCAGCCCGCCAGAGGACCCAAACCCUUGAUUUUAUACAGUAUCUUCUGAGUAAAUGAUUAAAUAAAUCAAAACUUUCAACAACGGAUCUCUUGGUUCUG
rnacentral:misc_RNA from 1 species